UGGACCUCAGAUCAGGCAAGAUUACCCGCUGAGUUUAAGCAUAUCACUAAGCGGAGGAAAAGAAACUAACUAGGAUUUCCCUAGUAGCGGCGAGCGAACCGGAAGGAGCCCAGC
rnacentral:rRNA from 1 species